AGCGAACGCUGGCGGUAGGCCUAACACAUGCAAGUCGAACGGACGCACAGUAAGUGCUUGCUCUCACGGGUGGCGAGCGUCGGACGGGUGCGGUAUACUUCGGAAUCUACUUUUUAGCGUGGGCCAACGUCGGGAAAGCUACGCUAAUAAAGCAUACGACCCACGGGUGACAGCAGGGGACCUUUGGACCUUGCGCGAUUGAAUGAGCCGAUGUCGGCUUAGCUUGGUGGCGGGGUAAAGGCCCAGCAAGGCCACGAUCCGUAGCUGGUCUGAGAGGGUGAACAGGCACACUGGAACUGAGGAACAGUCCAGACUCCUGCAGGGGGCAGCAGUGGGGAAUAUUGGACGAGGGAGGCAAGCCUGAUCCAGCCAUACCGCGUGAGUGAAGAAGGAGUUCUGGUUGGAAAGCCCUUUUGUUGGGAAAGAAAAGCAGCAGUUUAAUACCCCGCUGUUCUGACGGUACCCAAAGAAGAAGCACCGGCUAACUUCGUG
rnacentral:rRNA from 1 species